GACGUAGGGCGCGAGCGUUGUCCGGAUUUAUUGGGCGUAAAGAGCUCGUAGGCGGUUUGUUGCGUCGGCUGUGAAAUCCCGAGGCUCAACCUCGGGUCUGCAGUCGAUACGAGCAAACUAGAGUGUUGCAGGGGAGACUGGAAUUCCUGGUGUAGCGGUGAAAUGCGCAGAUAUCAGGAGGAACACCGAUGGCGAAGGCAGGUCUCUGGGCCGAUACUGACGCUGAGGAGCGAAAGCGUGGGGAGCGAACAGG
rnacentral:rRNA from 1 species